CGCGCGAUACAGGGUGACAGCCCCGUACACAAAAAUGCACAUAUUGUGAGCUCGAUGAGUAGGGCGGGACACGUGGUAUCCUGUCUGAAUAUGGGGGGACCAUCCUCCAAGGCUAAAUACUCCUGACUGACCGAUAGUGAACCAGUACCGUGAGGGAAAGGCGAAAAGAACCCCGGCGAGGGGAGUGAAAAAGAACCUGAAACCGUGUACGUACAAGCAGUGGGAGCACGCUUAGGCGUGUGACUGCGUACCUUUUGUAUAAUGGGUCAGCGACUUAUAUUCUGUAGCAAGGUUAACCGAAUAGGGGAGCCGAAGGGAAACCGAGUCUUAACUGGGCGUUAAGUUGCAGGGUAUAGACCCGAAACCCGGUGAUCUAGCCAUGGGCAGGUUGAAGGUUGGGUAACACUAACUGGAGGACCGAACCGACUAAUGUUGAAAAAUUAGCGGAUGACUUGUGGCUGGGGGUGAAAGGCCAAUCAAACCGGGAGAUAGCUGGUUCUCCCCGAAAGCUAUUUAGGUAGCGCCUCGUGAAUUCAUCUCCGGGGGUAGAGCACUGUUUCGGCAAGGGGGUCAUCCCGACUUACCAACCCGAUGCAAACUGCGAAUACCGGAGAAUGUUAUCACGGGAGACACACGGCGGGUGCUAACGUCCGUCGUGAAGAGGGAAACAACCCAGACCGCCAGCUAAGGUCCCAAAGUCAUGGUUAAGUGGGAAACGAUGUGGGAAGGCCCAGACAGCCAGGAUGUUGGCUUAGAAGCAGCCAUCAUUUAAAGAAAGCGUAAUAGCUCACUGGUCGAGUCGGCCUGCGCGGAAGAUGUAACGGGGCUAAACCAUGCACCGAAGCUGCGGCAGCGACGCUUAUGCGUUGUUGGGUAGGGGAGCGUUCUGUAAGCCUGUGAAGGUGUGCUGUGAGGCAUGCUGGAGGUAUCAGAAGUGCGAAUGCUGACAUAAGUAACGAUAAAGCGGGUGAAAAGCCCGCUCGCCGGAAGACCAAGGGUUCCUGUCCAACGUUAAUCGGGGCAGGGUGAGUCGACCCCUAAGGCGAGGCCGAAAGGCGUAGUCGAUGGGAAACAGGUUAAUAUUCCUGUACUUGGUGUUACUGCGAAGGGGGGACGGAGAAGGCUAUGUU
rnacentral:rRNA from 1 species